GUGGGGAAUUUUGGACAAUGGGCGCAAGCCUGAUCCAGCAAUGCCGCGUGCAGGAAGAAGGCCUUCGGGUUGUAAACUGCUUUUGUACGGAACGAAACGGUCCGGGUUAAUACUCUGGGCUAAUGACGGUACCGUAAGAAUAAGCACCGGCUAACUACGUGCCAGCAGCCGCGGUAAUACGUAGGGUGCAAGCGUUAAUCGGAAUUACUGGGCGUAAAGCGUGCGCAGGCGGUUUUGUAAUACAGGCGUGAAAUCCCCGGGCUCAACCUGGGAAUUGCGCUUGUGACUGCAAGGCUAGAGUGUGUCAGAGGGAGGUGGAAUUCCGCGUGUAGCAGUGAAAUGCGUAGAGAUGCAGAGGAACACCGAUGGCGAAGGCAGCCUCCUGGGAUAACACUGACGCUCAGGCACGAAAGCGUGGGGAGCAAACAGGAUUAGAUACCCUAGUAGUCC
rnacentral:rRNA from 1 species